rnacentral:lncRNA from 1 species
CCUUUAUAACCUUUUAUACACCCUUUGUACACUCAUUGUACACCUUUUGUACUCCCUUUGUAUAUUCUUUGUACACCCUUUUGUAUACUCUUAGUACACCCUUUAUACACCCUUUGUAAACCCUUUCUAAAUCUUUCUACAUAUUUGUAUACCCUUCGUACACCAUUUCUACACCCUUUGUAUAACCUUCGAACAUCCUUUGUACACCCUUUGUACAUCAUUGGUACACCCUUUGUACACCAUUUCUACAU